AGCGAACGCUGGCGGCGUGCCUAACACAUGCAAGUCGAACGUGAAAAGGGAAACCUGAGUAAAGUGGCGUACGGGUGAGUAACACGUAGGUAAUCUACCUAAGAGUCUUGAAUAACCUGCCGAAAGGCGGGCUAAUACGAGAUAGAGCGACGGACAUCGUAAGGAUGUCUUCGGGAAAGGGCGGCUGUUAAAGUCCCUUGCUUUUAGAUGAGCCGGCGUCCCAUUAGUUAGUUGGCGGGGUAACGGCCCACCAAGACGAUGAUGGGUAGCUGGUCUGAGAGGAUGAUCAGCCACACUGGAACUGAAACACGGUCCAGACUCCUACGGGAGGCAGCAGUGGGGAAUCUUGCGCAAUGGACGAAAGUCUGACGCAGCAACGCCGCGUGAGUGAAGAAGGCCUUCGGGUUGUAAAGCUCUGUCAAGAGGGACGAAAAGCUUUAUGGUUAAUAGCCAUGGAGCCUGACGGUACCUUUGGAGGAAGCACCGGCUAACUUCGUGCCAGCCGCCGCCGUAA
rnacentral:rRNA from 1 species